GGAAACUUACAAUCGUGGUGGAAGGCACCUCUUCACAGGGUGGCAGGGAAGAGAAUGACAAGUGAAGGGGAAAGCCCCUUAUAAAACUGUCAGAUCUCGUGAGAGCGUACUCACUGUCACGAGAAUAAUAUGGGGGGAACCGCUCUCAUGAUUCAAUCACCUCCUACCAGGUCCCUCCCACAACAUGUGGGGAUUAUGGGAACUACAAUUCAAGAUGAGAUUUGGGUGGGGACGCAGCCAAACCAUAUCACCUUGGUUUUCCAAAGUGCUGGGAUUAAAGGUGUGAGCCACUGUGUCCAGCCAUAGAAACUUACGAUAAGUCAUGUUUCUUGUUUGAGAAAUAGCUACCAUGAGCGCUAUUAUUAUUAAAGCUAUAUAUUGUUAGAAAGCAGACAUCUCACUGUAUCUGCUGAUUUUAAAUGCAUUGAUCAUCUGUUACAAAGUACGGUAAGCUUGGAAACGAGUAAUUUAACAGCGGUAGAUGAUGCAGGUCGUAGUGGGCCACUUAUGCAUGGUGGUUGGAUGGCAGGCUCCCUAGAUUGGGCUGAGGAGACCCGAGGUCUCACCUCUGCCAGCGACUUGCUGUGUGUGCUUGGCCAGGUGACUCAUGGCACCCGGACGGAGUGGGUGGCAAGUGUUGUGAUCACAGGGACGUGGUAUGUGAUUGAGGGAGAGGGCCGGCUGGCAUGACUGAAAGAGAAGACAGUUUCUUUCAUACCGAAAAGUAUGGACACUUACCAGGAGGCUUACCUAAAGUAAGGUCGGGGGCCAGAGUAUGGAGCCACUGCCCCAUCUCAAGAAUAGCUACAACUUACUGUCCUAGGACAAAGGGGAAAUGAGGCUUGAGACUCAAUAAUUUUAGUAGAAAUCUGUUAUAUUUUACAAUUUCACUUUUCAUUUGUACCCAGCUAGUGAUUAUACUCUGUAUCCAUUUUCCACACAAAAUCCCAAGGACCUUCAGAAUCUCCUCUCAGUGUAUUUGGACGCCACCUUUUUCCCAUGUUUACACGAGCUGGAUUUCUGGUAUGUCAUGAGUGAUUAACUAGUUGAUGCAGACUUUAGUAUUUGAGUCACUGUCAGCUUAUAAUUAUUUGUCCUCAGGCAGGAAGGAUGGCGGCUGGAACACGAGAAUCCUAGCGACCCCAGACACCCUUGGUCUUUAAAGGAGUCGUCUUUAGUGAGAUGAAGGGAGGGUUUACAGACAAUGAGAGGAUAUUCCCCCAGCACCUUCAAAAUAGACUUCUUCCCGACCACACGUACUCAGUGGUCUCCAGGGGUGACCCACUGUGCAUCCCGGAGCUUAUGUGGGAGAAGCUUAAGCAAUUUCAUACCACUCACUAUCACCCAAGCAAUGCUAGGUAAUAUUUUGUUGGAAAAGUUUGAUGGUGGAUUGUGGAAAGUUAACUUGUGUGUGUUCUUCCAAUUUCAUGACAUGGCGUCUCUCACAUUUAGCAAUGCUUAGCUUCGAGCCUCUCCUUGGCAUGGAGAAGUGCUCUUCCGAUAGUGGAUGCAGUCACAGAACCUUCAUCACAUCCUCACUUUCUGAUCUAUCGCUUGUUUCUUAUGUCACUAGUAUAAGGUCAUUAUAGUAAUAAUAUAGUUAUACGUAUCCUAUAAAACACUAAUAAUUUACAUAUAAAUGCUAAUGUAAAAACAUAUUUGCAAGGUUAGUUUAUAUAAAAACAAUUAUGAAAACUUUCAAGUAUACAGAAAAGUAGACUAGGAUAAUGAGCCCCUAAACACUUAUCACAUAAUAGAUAUCCUUUUCCUUGUGAAGUUUUUGGAAGUAAAUUAUAAAUGUCAUCAUUUACCACUAAAUAUUUGAAUUUGUGACCUGAAAACAUGAUUUUUUCUUACAUGAGCUAAUGCCAUUUUCAGUUUUAAUAGAAUAAAACAUACUUUCAUAAAACUGCCUAUUUCUUAUUCCAUAUUCACAUUUUCUAGUUGGCCCCAAAGUGUUUGCUGCACAGGGUCCCACAGAUCACACCUGAUCAGCCCGGGUCUCUCCUGGGCACCCUCUCGGGGACGGCAGAGGAGUGUGCAGGCCGGGUUUCCUCCAGGCGCUCUCACUUUCCAGGUGUCCUGGCUGCUCCUGUGUGGUGUUGGGUGCCAUGUUCCUGUGUUUCCUGAGAACUGGAACUUAGAUCCAAAGCCUUAGUUUGAGUCAGGCUGCGCCUUUUUAAGCAGAGUCCCUCGUGGGGAGUUCUGCAUUGAUGGCCACAUCCUACCAUCGUGUGAGGCCUGCUUGCCUCCACCGGGGGGUCUCACACCAGCAGGGUGCAUGCUGAGAGUCGGCCACCGUCUUGUGAAGAUCUGCUUUCUCCCUUCAGCCACAGACCAU